AGAGCAGACUUUUUCUUUGCUCAAAGUCUAAGCAUUGAAGAACUUCUUUUUAGUAGGUAGAUUUUUGUGUUUUUUUGUUUGUUUUUGAGACGGAGUCUCACUCUGUCGCCCAGGCUGUGGUGCAGUGGCACGAUCUCGGCCCACUGCAAGCUCUGCCUCCCGGGUUCACACCAUUCUCCUGCCUCAGCCUCCCAAGUAGCUGGGACUACAGGUGCCAGCCACCACGCCUGGCUAAUUUUUUUGCAUUUUUUAGUAGAGAUGGGGUUUCAUCGUGUUAGCCAGGAUGGUCUUGAUCUCCUGACCUCAUGAUCCACCCGCCUUGGCCUGCCAGAGUGCUGGAAUUACAGGCGUGAUUUAGUAGGUAGUUUUGAGUAGGGAGUAUACAUUUAAAAUGCUGAAACUCAGUUAAGGAAUAAUCUAAUACUGUAUUCAACUGAAACUCAGUUGAGAAAUUUCUUUCCAAUAAUAAAGGAAAAUCAACUGCAGUAAUGAGGGAGAUGAUUUUGCUGCUAAUUACAACAAAUAUUUACUACAGACCUGUUAUGCACCAGGAACUGUGCUAAAUGUUUUAUACAUAUAACUUUAUCUUGUGCUCCAACAACUUAUUACAUAGAAAUUGCUAUUAUUCCCAUUUUCUAGAUUAAUAAAUUGGUUUAGAGGGGUCGUAUAGGUGAAACAACUCACUCAAUAUCACAAGCUGUUAUGUGGUGAAGUUUGCAUGAUCAGUACAGGGUUCUGGUCAUCCCACUCAUUGAGUGGUGCUAGUCAAGAUCUGGAAGCUCUUCUGGUCUUAGUUUCUCUAGCCGUGAAGUGACAAUGAUUAGGUCUAAUCAUAGAACAUGAGAGUACAUGUGAAAAAAUGCCUUUUUAAAGAGUAUGAAAAACUUGAGUUGUAAAAUUUUCUUGUGGAUAAUUUAUUAUUGCUUUUCUUUUUUAGAUAACACUAACAAAGUUGACCUUAGAAUUGGAGUGCCUGGGUUAGAACCCUGCUGGUACCACCUGCUUACUGCAUGCUUCUGAUGUGAGUUCAGGAGAAGACACUGGCAAGGACAGCAAAGAACAGGAGAACACUCUAGCUUCCCUGAUAGCAUUCAAGGUGCUGUCCAAACUGACUGUGAUGGCACCCUCCAGACAGACAGCGAUGCCACAUGUUCAAGAUGGCAGAAUCACUAUCAGCUUCAAUUCCUGAAUGACUGCAGAGCAAAAUUUCUUACCUGCAACAUACACUCUAUUUUCAGCCUCCCUGGACUGUUACAUAAUGAUACAUAAAAAUAUUUCUUGUGUUGAGGCAUCCCAAAUUUGAUUUAUUUGUCAUCACAGUCUAUCCUAUGAAUAUAUUUCUGAUCCAAAUAAUGCUAGAUUCAUGAGAGUUUAUAGUCCAGAGAUUUUUUUUUUUUUUUUGAGACAGAAUCUGUCUCCCAGGCUGGGGUGCAGUGGCAUAAUCUUAGCUCACUGCAACCUCUGCCUCCCGGGCUCAAGUGAUCCUCCCUCCUUAGCCUCCAUGAGUAGCUGGGACCACAGGUGUGCACCACCACACCCCGCUAAUUAUUUUGUAUUUUUUGCAGAGGGGGGUUUCACCACAUUGCCCAAGCUGGUCUCAAACUCCUAGACUUAAGGGAUCUGCCUGCCUUGGCCUCCCAAAAUGCUGAAAUUACACUUGUUAGCCAUAGUAAUAGUUCCUAGCCAUAGUCCGGAGAUAUUUUAAAAACUUUAGUGUGAGUUAUUUCUCUUUGCUAUAAUUCUCUCAUGCAUUUUGAAAACCUUUUCUGCCAUACAGUGGUUUUUGGGAAGUCCUUUUGGACAGACAUAUCACAGGAUGGAGAAACUAAAAAGAGAGAAUGCAUUAAAGAAAAAA
ensembl:lncRNA CASC19 cancer susceptibility 19